CCCUUAGAUGUUCUGGGCCGCACACGCGCUACACUGAAGGAGGCAGCGUGUACUCCUGGAUCGAAAGAUUUGGGUAACCCGCGAAUCUCCUUCGUGCUAGGGAUUGAGGUUUGCAACUAUUAGUCUUGAACGAGGAAUUCCUCGUAAGCAUGAGUCAUCAGCUUGUGCUGAUUACGUCCCUGCCCUUUGUACACACCGCCCGUCGCUCCUACCGAUUGGGUGCUCCGGUGAAUUGUUUGGACUGCGUAUUACGUAUCAGUGGUGUGCGGGAAGCUCUGUGAACCUUAGCACCUAGAGGAAGGAGAAGUCGUAACA
rnacentral:rRNA from 1 species